rnacentral:lncRNA from 1 species
AAGUCCUAUUAUAUUCAUACAUGUAUCAAGAUUGCUAGGCAGCAAUUUAUUUUAUUUUAGUUUCUGAGAUAUGAGGGGAUCUUCAUGGCGAUGCUUUCUUAACUAUACUAAGUGAUGAAAAGAAAGAAACAUUUUGCAAAAUAUCAGUUUUAGAUAUUAUUUAAAGAUCAGUUUUAACUGCAGCUGAUCAGUUUAAUGCAGGAAGAAGGCAAUCAUUCAUUUGCAAAUUCACACCCCACGGCAACAUUACGUUUGAAUGCCAAAUCCCACCCGGCUAAAAGUUUAUUUUAAUAAAUAAAACAAAAUAAGCAUUAUGCUGAAAAUAUGUUUUCUCUUUGAAUGGAUUCAAAACAAAAUUUUGGGGAUGUUGACUAGGCCUUUAAUUCUGGGGCCAAUUGUGCAAUGGCCCCUAAAGCAAAUAAAAUCAUAUCCCUUUAAAAUUAAUUUUUAUUCAACAGUUGGUUGGCGAACUAGUCUAAAAAAAGCAUGGCACGCACAGGAAGUGAUUAAAAGCACUUGAGCCUGUCUAAGCCACGCUGGACUGUAUGGCUGUUCGCUGGAAAGAAAAAAAAAGUUUGUUUACACUUGAACGAGUGGAAGUUCCCACUUAGGCCAUAUUGCAUGGGAGGAUUAUUCGGAUAGAUUCUAAAUUUACACAGAUAUGAUGAAAUUGCCAUACGUGGCAUUUUUCAUCCGAUGUCGGAUAGUUAGUUGUCCUGUCCAUAUUCAUAGUGAUGUGUUGUCAAAAGUUGGUGAAAGUCUGUCUGUUUUGCUCUUUCUGAUUGUUGAAGUGAGCCCUCUUUGUUGAGAAUGGGCCAACAGAAGCAGAUCCAGAAAAGAUGGUUACAUGCUAAUACCAAACGCUGUCGACUUUCGUGGCAAGGCGCUGAAGAUCAGGAUGAAUUUUUCACCCGGGAACUCCUUCGUGCCUCCACCAAAUUCCAGGCUCAACGCAGUAGGUCGGAGGGCAAGCUGAACAGUACUGGUGAAUACGUAACCCAUCACAGCCAUGGGA